UACGUAGGGUGCGAACGUUGUCCGGAAUUAUUGGGCGUAAAGAGCUCGUAGGCGGUGUGUCACGUCGGCCGUGAAAACCUGCAGCUUAACUGUGGGCGUGCGGUCGAUACGGGCAUCACUGGAGUUCGGCAGGGGAGACUGGAAUUCCUGGUGUAGCGGUGAAAUGCGCAGAUAUCAGGAGGAACACCGGUGGCGAAGGCGGGUCUCUGGGCCGAUACUGACGCUGAGGAGCGAAAAGCGUGGGGGGAGCAAAAC
rnacentral:rRNA from 1 species